UAUGAUAUUUCACUUUAAUAAAACAUAAUGACUUAUUUCAUUAUUUUACAGCCUUAAAGUUACAAUUAUUGCAUGGACAUUUUCUGUAAUGUAUUGGGAAAAUGUGAUAUUUUAAUCAUAAAGAGACAGUUACUUAAUUAAAUACUUCAUAAAACACAAGCACAGGUUGCUCCUUUCCCCAAUAUUUUCAACUUUAACAUGAAAACAAGUCGCAGCAUAACCACUCUACUGUUUAUUAAUUAACCUUAAGUAUAGUAUUACCAAACAGCUGUUCUUAUUUGGUUAUUGUUUUAACUACUUGCUCUUUUACCUUGGCAAGCUUAACAAUCCAUGUUGGGCAUCGGACUGUGCCUGCAAAUGGCUGGGGAAUAAAGUCCUUGUUUAGAAUCUCAUUUUUAUUUUUUCAGAUCAUGUAAAUGACCUGCAGUUGUUUAUUAUUAACUUGUUCUAUCGGGUGGUGGUGUAACGUUGUGGGGCAAGUGUUCUUAAUUUAUUGCCCACUAGGCAAAAUCAAAUUUUCUGAUCUGAGGAAUGCCUACAACAUUUUGAGUCCAUGCCACAGAGAAUUCAGGCAGUUCUGAAGACAAAAGGUUGUCCGACCUGCUACUAACAAGGAGUGCCUAAUGCAGUAGUAAAGGAGUGUCUUUUAGUACUGUUUGUUUUGGUUUUCUAUCAAACCCCAAACUUUAUUUUGUCUUCUUUGUGUUUUAUCAGCUUUAUAUCUAUACUUAAAUCAUAACAACCUUUAAAAUCCCUUCAGAAAUCCACUCUGUGUCCUAAACUCCCAUCAUGUCAGUGGACAUCAUCUGCGUCUAAUGUUCAAUUUUCCUCACAACACCUGAGGCUAUUGAUUAAUUUUCUCUUUGUUUUCUCAUCAUCCCUCCCAAUGCUCCAGGCUCUGCUACCACCUCACAUAGAAACAGCAGUCUCUAGGGACUUCUUCUGUUUUGGCCCUCGUGCUAGUUAGUCAUCUCCUUUUUCCGAAAGCGCAGCAACAACCAACAUCAUAAGGAGAGCAAGGAAAUUCACCUAAAAGCCAACAUACAGUAUUUAUGUCUUGAGGUUUGCUGUCGCUGGAACAAAUAUCGACUAAAAACUUCUCCCUGGUCUCUCUCCUGCAACAGACAAAUUUUCACUAAACACCCCCUCAGUCGCACCUGUUACACAGCCGAAUCCAGCCGCCAAAAGUGAAUCCUUCAUGUGUGGGCACUGAGACGGCUUCACCAGCAGAACUCGCCCGACGUUAGCUGCUCUCACAACAGAAGGAAGCAGCAAACGCGGAAGAGAAUCCACCUGCAACGUUAAAGCAGCUUUGGAGACGGUUUGUCUCAGACCUUGGAGAACACACUUCACUAUAUGAGGAAGCCAAGUGAGCUGCUGCAGCAGGGGGGAUAUGACGUCCCAGUCCUCACUGAAGGAGUGUGUGUCACUUUCAAGCUGCAGGAAGAAAAAGCACUGCCUAAUUUGGAGAUGAUGAGCUUGUUUUACUCACUGCAUGUCUUUCUGCUCGCAAAAAGCAACAUAUGAAUACGUACACAACAGCCUGACCGCACAUGGAAGACAUUUUCUUUCAACAGUAGCAACAAUUGAUUUUGUAGUACAAUAAAUACAAUGACUGCUACAUUAUCAUUAUGCACUCAAAACUGUCCUUUUCCAUAAUGUUGCACAGUUUGACUUCUAUCAUCGGUACAAUAUCCUGCAAGUGAAACUAACAGAACUUUGAAGGAAUUUAAACACAAUACACCACCAUGUCGUUAAAAGACAACUAAAGGUCAAUUUAGUGACAGAAACUGCAUUUGUCUCAUUUAUGCGUAUAAUUUGUGUGCUGUAUAUAUUAUUUAUGGCGGUUACGCAUAAACACAGUGAAAAAGGCACGUCUUUGUUCUGUGCUGCGGUUGAGCUUUGUUGUGUUCAGUCAGCUGAAUAGAUUAGAAUGAUAUAAUUUACAUUUAAAACAGUUUUUUUCCCCCAGUAACUCAAUGUUUGCUGAAUGACACUGAAACAAAAAUGGCAAUUAAAAUCUAACCACAAAUUAAGUUCAAGGUCUACUUGAACUUAAUUCAAGUAGACAAACAAACAAACAAAACUAACUAACUAACUAACUAACUAACUAACUAACUAACUAACUAACUAACUGAGGUUCAUAACAUCUCUUUCAAACAUUAUCAGUCUUUAUUAAAUAAGCAUUUAUUUUGCUAUUUCAUUUGUAUUUUUGCUACAGAAGCAAAGAUAAGCCAAUACAGUACUAAAGGAUGCAAUAUGAAAAGAGAACACUGAUUGUACAAAUCAAAAAUAUUUGUGUGAAUCACAAUCAACUGCCUUGAUGCUGAAAUGUACUGUACAAAUAAAUUUGAUUGACUGAUUGAAUCAGACUGAGAUAACUGGAGAUAGCUGCUGUAAUAUAGCAAUAAUGUUGCAAUAAUCAUUCAUAUUUCUGAUUUUCCUUCUUAACCAAAUAUGCUCUGCAAUGCAACCUCACAGCAGAAACUGGUUUAUUUGGUCAUUUAAGCUAUCCAGUCGACAGCACAUUCUUUCUCGCCAUUAAAACGUCCGGAAACAUAA